CCCAGAUGAAAUCGAAGCCCCACUAUGCAAGGCUGCCUACAAACACAUGCACCUUUCAUCUGAGACUCUCAAAGCACUUUGCAAACAUGGAUAAAGCUUUGCAACUGUCAAGCUUCAGAUUGGAAAUAAGGCAUAAGCUGUUAACACUAAGGGUGAAUUUCUUCUUUGGGCUUCAGGAGCGCUGGAACCUGUGUACAAGUUCGGGAGGUCACUGGCACCAGGACUGUGGCUCCUCUUUUGCCCUUGAGGAGGAGAUGAGGUGCCCGAGAGCAGUUGCCAG